AUAUUGGUCAAUGGGGGGAACCCUGAACCAGCGACACCGCGUGAGGGAAGAAGGUUUUCGGAUUGUAAACCUCUGUUGUCGGGGAAGAUAAUGACGGUACCCGAUGAGGAAGCCACGGCUAACUACGUGCCAGCAGCCGCGGUAAUACGUAGGGGGCGAGCGUUGUCCGGAAUUAUUGGGCGUAAAGGGUUCGCAGGCGGCCUUUUAAGUCAGAUGUGAAAGCCCACGGCUUAACCGUGGUAAGCAUUUGAAACUGGAAGGCUUGAGUUAAGGAGAGGAAAGUGGAAUUCCUAGUGUAGCGGUGAAAUGCGUAGAUAUUAGGAGGAAUACCAGUGGCGAAGGCGACUUUCUGGACUUAUACUGACGCUGAGGAACGAAAGCGUGGGGAGCAAACA
rnacentral:rRNA from 1 species